rnacentral:rRNA from 1 species
UACAGAGGUCCCGAGCGUUGUUCGGAUUUACUGGGCGUAAAGGGUGCGUAGGCGGUUCUGUAAGUCUGAUGUGAAAUCUCCAGGCCCAACCUGGAAACUGCAUUAGAAACUACAGGGCUAGAGGCUUGGAGGGGGAACUGGAAUUCUCGGUGUAGCGGUGAAAUGCGUAGAGAUCGAGAGGAACACCAGUGGCGAAGGCGAGUUCCUGGACAGGUCCUGACGCUGAGGCACGAAAGCCAGGGGAGCAAACAGG